AACCAUUCUCACCUGCGGCUAGACCUGCGGAAGGAUCAUUACACAAUAAACAUAUGAAGGCUGCACCGCCAACAGGCGGCAAGGCUGGAGUAUUUUAUUACCCUUGUCUUUUGCGCACUUGUUGUUUCCUGGGCGGGUUCGCCCGCCUCCAGGACCACAUGAUAAACCUUUUUUAUGCAGUUGCAAUCAGCGUCAGUACAACAAAUGUAAAUCAUUUACAACUUUCAGCAACGGAUCUCA
rnacentral:misc_RNA from 1 species